rnacentral:rRNA from 1 species
CCUACGGGUGGCAGCAGUCGAGAAUCAUUCACAAUGGGGGAAACCCUGAUGGUGCGACGCCGCGUGGGGGAAUGAAGGUCUUCGGAUUGUAAACCCCUGUCAUGUGGGAGCAAAUGAAAAAGAUAGUACCACAAGAGGAAGAGACGGCUAACUCGGUGCCAGCAGCCGCGGUAAUACAGAGGUCUCAAGCGGUGUUCGGAAUCACUGGGCGUAAAGCGUGCGUAGGCGGUGUCGUAAGUCGUGUGUGAAAGGCGCGGGCUCAACCCGCGGAGUGCACAUGAUACUGCGCGACUAGAGUAAUGGAGGGGGAACCGGAAUUCAUGGUGUAGCAGUGAAAUGCGUAGAGAUC